rnacentral:lncRNA from 13 species
UAAUUUUUUUGUAUUUUUUGUAGACACAGGGGUUUCACCAUGUUAACCAGGAUGGUCUUGAUCUUCUGACCUCAUGAUCCACCUGCAUCGGCCUCCCAAAGUGCUGGGAUUACAGAAAAUCCAUAGCCUCAAUCGGUUCAAGAAGAAACAUCAGCUGGCAAACUGGGAGUGCCUCUAAUGGCCUAACUGCAAGUAUUCCCCAA